UACAGAGGGGGCAAGCGUUAUUCGGAAUUAUUGGGCGUAAAGGGCGCGUAGGCGGCUUUGCAAGUGGCGGGUGAAAUCCCUCGGCUUAACCGAGGAACUGCCUGUCAGACUGUGAGGCUUGAGACCGGGAGAGGUGAGUGGAAUUCCCAGUGUAGCGGUGAAAUGCGUAGAUAUUGGGAGGAACACCAGUGGCGAAGGCGGCUCACUGGACCGGAACUGACGCUGAGGCGCGAAAGCGUGGGGAGCAAACAGG
rnacentral:rRNA from 1 species